rnacentral:tRNA from 1 species
GGGGUUGUAGCUCAGUGGUAGAGCACUUGCCUCAUAUGCCUGAGGCACUGGGUUUGAUCCUCAGCACCA